GAGAGAGAGAGAGAGAGAGAGAGAGAAUGGUUGUUCAGCAGAAAGGAGCUUCUGGAUUCUCACUCCAUUGUAACGGGUAACCAGUAAGGUAGUUUCGAUUUUGUAUAACUUUCAUUGUUCUUGGCAAUAAUAUCUCACAUGGAAACAAAAGCCCAAAACGGAACUGCUGAUGAUCAAUUGAGAUUUCAUGGUCGCAACAAUUGUGUUUAUAUGAGAGAUUGCAUGGUCUCUUGAAUUGAACCUUAAUCUGUUGAUAAUCUUUUUACACCUAUUAAUUAAUCUGCGACAAGAAGAAAUUUCUUGCUCCAUUUCAUGUUCCAAUUGAGGCAAAUUGUCAACUACUUUGUGUGUAUUACUGUACGAGCUCUUGCUCCUAUAUGCAUUUAUCUUGUGAUUAAAUUACAGGCAAUAAAAUCAAAAGACGCAUGGUAACGAUGAUAUUGACCGGCAUUGCUAAAGUACUGUAAUACAUUGAUCAUGCCUGGCCUUUAAUAUGGGUCCUUGAUUCAGAAUGUCAACAAGCAGGCCAAUGCGUUUAACUUUUCAAAAUUUGAAUUUUUCGUGAGUCCAAAAUUACGUUGCAUAGUGAUCUUUGGAGUUUGUCGUGUGGCGAAUCCUUGCAUUUACAUGGGGUCCAAUUUGGAUCUCGCUAGAAGUAAGGGGAGUUUAUUUUUCACGUGUCUUGGAUCGAGUUCAAUCCAGGGGCUGUAACUUGUAUGAUGGCAUUUUGGUUGUGUCAGUUGGGGUUCUUAGUAUCAUUCUCGUUUGAAGCCGUAUUCUGAAGAUGAAAUCAAUGAUGUGGAGGCUAAAUCAUGUUCCAGAUUUCUCCUAGUUCACUUCUUUUCCUCCCAGUCUUCCAUUAUGCUCAGUUGCUGGUGGUGAUUUGCUUGAUCAAGUUAUUUUAGGCCUAUCUUCUGUUAUCUCAAGCGGUAGAAUGGGGAGAUUUCUUCUUUGAUACCACUUCUGACUGGCCUGUAUUCAGUUUGUGCUCUAUUGAGGGAAGAUCAAGUCCUUGCAAGCUACUAUGUUCAAAUCAUUGGAAGUGAAACCCAACUAUUGCUGCUGCUCAAAGUCCAUUAGCUGAUGACGUUCCAAUUCCGUCUGCUGCUGCUGCUGCUCCAAGUAAAUUUGCAGUUCCAUUUCCAUGAGCUGUCGGUGUGUCAAUUCCCAGAAAUUUCUAUGAGGAAUCCUAGUUCCAGUUGCUGCUGCUGCUGCUGCUUCAAGUAAAUUUGAUGUUGGUGAGUCAAUUCAUAGUGCUGCUACUUCUGAUGACGUUAGUGCUCUCAAAGACAUCAGUUGGCUUGGGCUUCUUGUUUUGCUCUUUGUAUCAAUGGCUCCAUGUUUCAGAUGCCAUUUUGAACAUUUUUCUUUGGUUUCGGUUGUGGUUGAUCUCCUAUUAACUCGCUUCCUUUUUUUGUAAUUCCUAUCUCUUUUCUCUAUUA